AACGAACGCUGGCGGCAUGCCUAACACAUGCAAGUCGAACGGGAUCCUAGCUUGCUAGGUGAGAGUGGCGGACGGGUGAGUAACACGUGGGAAUCUGCCUUUUGGUUCGGGAUAACCGCGGGAAACUGCGGCUAAUACCGAAUGCCCUCGAGAGAGGAAAGAUUUAUCGCCAGAAGAGGAGCCCGCGUCCGAUUAGGUAGUUGGUGGGUAAAGGCCUACCAAGCCGACGAUCGGUAGCUGGUCUGAGAGGAUGAUCAGCCACACUGGGACUGAGAUACGGCCCAGACUCCUACGGGAGGCAGCAGUGGGGAAUAUUGGACAAUGGGGGCAACCCUGAUCCAGCAAUGCCGCGUGAGUGAUGAAGGCCUUAGGGUUGUAAAGCUCUUUUGCCAGGGAAGAUGAUGACUGUACCUGGAGAAUAAGCCCCGGCUAACUUCGUGCCAGCAGCCGCGGUAAU
rnacentral:rRNA from 1 species